rnacentral:rRNA from 1 species
UACGUAGGGUCCAAGCGUUAUCCGGAAUCACUGGGCGUAAAGCGUCCGCAGCCGGCGUGUUAAGUGAGAUGUUAAAUCGUGUGGCUCAACCAUAUCGGUGUAUCUCAUACUGGCAUGCUAGAGGAAAUCAGAGGCAAGUGGAAUUUGUAGUGUAGCAGUGAAAUGCGUAGAGAUGUGGAGGAACACGGAUGGCGAAGGCAGCCCCCUGGGCUAACACUGACGCUCAUGCACGAAAGCGUGGGGAGCAAACAGG